GACGAACGCUGGCGGCGUGCCUAAUACAUGCCAGUUGAGCGAUGAAGAUUGGUGCUUGCACCAAUUUGAAGAGCAGCGAACGGGUGAGUAACGCGUGGGGAAUCUGCCUUUGAGCGGGGGACAACAUUGGGAAACGAUUCCUAUUACCGAAAAACACCUUUAAACAUAGUUUUUAGGUUUAAAAGUGGAAUUUCAUUCCUCAAAGGUGGUCCCGCGUUGUAUUUGCUUGUUGGGGAGGUAAAGGGUCACCAAGGCGAUGGUACAUAGGCGACCUGAGAGGGUGAUCGGCCACAGUGGGACUGAGACACGGCCCAAACUCCUACGGGAGGCAGCAGUAGGGAAUCUUCGGCAAUGGACGAAAGUCUGACCGAGCAACGCCGCGGGAGUGAAGAAGGUUUUCGGAUCGUAAAACUCUGUUGGUAGAGAAGAACGUUGGUGAGAGUGGAAAGCUCAUCAAGUGACGGUAACUACCCAGAAAGGGACGGCUAACUACGUG
rnacentral:rRNA from 1 species